CUGACCAGAGCAGCUGCACUUGGAAGAGGUGCAGCUACUACUGGCUUUAAGAGAUUCCUCGCUUUAACAGAAGCUGCAAAAGAUCGCAAGGAUGGGCCAUUCAGGAAGCUAUUCAAUGGAUAAGUACCAAUUUCUGAGCUCAUCAUUCUUGGCAGGUCUUUUCCUUUAUUAGCUCCUCUUUUGUAUCUUUCCCCAUUAUUGUAAUCAACUGUUCAUUAACUUUUUUUCCCAGGAAUAGCAAAAGCUAUUGUACAUUUUUGCGGUGUAGAUUGUAAAUUAGAGUUUUAUCAAAAUUAUGAAAGUGAUUUGAAAGCUGUUUCCACUUUUAGUGCAAAAAAAAUCCAAAAUGUACCGCCUGGAAUAAUGUUUUCUUAGAGUAAAAACACCCUCCCUAAUCAACCGGACACAUUUCGGAAAAUUCAUUUACAAGACAAUCUUAAUUGUUUUUCACUUUGUAAUUAGGUCUAUUGGCUACAAAAAAGUAGUUUAUUCAUUCCCACUCAUGAGUGAUAGUGGUUUUUAUGGACAAUAUUCUAAGUCUUCCAUGGAUCAGAUGCUUCUGUCUUUGGACAAACUGUUUUCUUACAAUUGUCGCUCAUCUUUUUAGCACCACGGAAUGGAAUCUGAUGGUGUAUGCUCAUAAGGAGGGGUUACACUUUGUUCAUUGAAGUAGAAUUACCUCCUCUUUGUUUUUUUUUUUGUUUCUUUUUCACGUUGAGUUUUUGAUCUAUGGCCUAUGGGGUCGUUAAUUGCUAUUCUGAAAGUCCAGAGCUAGCUGACUCAAAUUUUCAGUAGCUGGUCCCCAGGACCACAGCAAAUUGUUCUCUCCAGUAUCGUUAAUGCUACCUAUUCCUCAGGUCCACAAUAAGUGACCAAUUUAAUUUUAACACGUCCAUUAAAACAAUACUAAAUUCUAUA
rnacentral:lncRNA from 1 species